rnacentral:rRNA from 1 species
UGGGGAAUUUUGGACAAUGGGCGCAAGCCUGAUCCAGCCAUUCCGCGUGAGUGAAGAAGGCAUUCGGGUUGUAAAGCUCUUUCGCAAGGGAAGAAAACUUACUUUCUAAUAAAACGUGAGGCUGACGGUACCUUGAUAAGAAGCACCGGCUAACUACGUGCCAGCAGCCGCGGUAAUACGUAGGGUGCGAGCGUUAAUCGGAAUUACUGGGCGUAAAGCGUGCGCAGGCUGUUUUGUAAGUCAGAUGUGAAAUCCCUGAGCUCAACUUAGGAACUGCGUUUGAAACUACAAGACUAGAAUAUGUCAGAGGGGGGUAGAAUUCCACGUGUAGCAGUGAAAUGCGUAGAGAUGUGGAGGAAUACCAAUGGCGAAGGCAGCCCCCUGGGAUAAUAUUGACGCUCAUGCACGAAAGCGUGGGGAGCAAAC